CUCUACUGGAAUGCGUUGUUUAUUUACUGGAACUCGCAUCAUUGUUUAGCUUGGGAAAUGGGUUUUUGCAUGUUCAGUGGAGGCUAUCGGGCUGGUUCAGGGUGUUGGUUCUGAUAAUAAUUGUGAUAUUUAAGUGCUUACUGUGUGCCAGGCACUGUUCUAAGCGCUGGGGUGGACAAGCAAGUUCCUGUCCCACAUGGGGCUCAGCCUCAAUUCCCAUUCUGCAGAUGAGAUUACCGAAGCACAGAGAAUUGAAGUGACUUACCCAGGGUCUUACAGCAGACAGUGGCGGAGCAGGGAUUAGACCCCGUAACGUUCUGACUGCCAGGCCUGAGCACUGUGUCCUGAGAGGAAGCUUGGUGAAAGUUGUAGUUAUCUGUGGUGGCUGAAAUUGCGCCAAUUCAUUAGGAUCAUUUUCCAAAGGUGGAAAGUGGAAACAUGAGAACCUGAGAGGGAAACUGGGAUAUUUCCUCCCCCCUUCUCCCAAAAGGAUUAUAUUGUCCAUGACUAAGUGAAGUCCCUUUUCUUUACUGACUUUCUCAGCUUUGAUAAAAGUAAACAAACAGGCUCAGGAGUGGAAUCUGGAAAUGUUAAAAUUGGAUUGGGGACCCCUAGCGAGCGGGGAGGAGGAGAAGUCCAGAUGUGACAGGUGGCUGCUUCCAGGGUCCAAUGGUGAAGAGACCUCCAGGAUGUGAGGGGUACGUUCCUGGUGUCACACGGCCGGAUGGCAGGCAGAAACGAGGCUUAGCGUCCCCCAGGCCGACAGGACUUCCGCCUCGAGACCGGCCCGUCCGAGGGAAGGCCGGCCUGUUGAGAAGCCCCCUACUCGCCCCAAGUCACCAC
rnacentral:lncRNA from 1 species